rnacentral:rRNA from 1 species
GAUGAACGCUGGCGGCGUGCUUAACACAUGCAAGUCGAACGGUGAAGGCGGAGCUUGCUCUGCUGGAUCAGUGGCGAACGGGUGAGUAACGCGUGAGCAAUCUGCCCCUGACUCUGGGAUAAGCGCUGGAAACGGCGUCUAAUACUGGAUACGAGCUGCGAGGGCAUCUUCAGCAGCUGGAAAGAAUUUCGGUCAGGGAUGAGCUCGCGGCCUACCAGCUUGUUGGUGAGGUAAUGGCUCACCAAGGCGUCGACGGGUAGCCGGCCUGAGAGGGUGACCGGCCACACUGGGACUGAGACACGGCCCAGACUCCUACGGGAGGCAGCAGUGGGGAAUAUUGCACAAUGGGCGAAAGCCUGAUGCAGCAACGCCGCGUGAGGGACGACGGCCCUCGGGUUGUAAACCUCUUUUAGCAGGGAAGAAGCGAAAGUGACGGUACCUGCAGAAAAAGCGCCGGCUAACUACGUG